rnacentral:rRNA from 1 species
UACGUAGGGUGCAAGCGUUGUCCGGAUUUAUUGGGCGUAAAGAGCUCGUAGGCGGUCUGUCGCGUCGGAUGUGAAAACCCAGGGCUCAACCCUGGGCCUGCAUUCGAUACGGGCAGACUAGAGUACGGCAGGGGAGACUGGAAUUCCUGGUGUAGCGGUGAAAUGCGCAGAUAUCAGGAGGAACACCGAUGGCGAAGGCAGGUCUCUGGGCUGACACUGACGCUCAUGCACGAAAGCGUGGGGAGCAAACAGG